GAUGAACGCUAGCUACAGGCUUAACACAUGCAAGUCGAGGGGUGACGAGAGGAAAGCUUGCUUUCCUUGUUGACGACCGGCGCACGGGUGAGUAACGCGUAUCCAACCUGCCCCCAACUAGGGAAUAACCUUGCGAAAGUAAGACUAAUACCCUAUAAUUUCCUCAGAUGUCAUCUGACGAGGAAUAAAGAUUUAUCGGUUGUGGAUGGGGAUGCGUCUGAUUAGCUUGUUGGCGGGGUAACGGCCCACCAUGGCAACGAUCAGUAGGGGUUCUGAGAGGAAGGUCCCCCACAUUGGAACUGAGACACGGUCCAAACUCCUACGGGAGGCAGCAGUGAGGAAUAUUGGUCAAUGGGCGGAAGCCUGAACCAGCCAAGUAGCGUGCAGGAUGACGGCCCUAUGGGUUGUAAACUGCUUUUAUACAGGAAUAAAGUUAGCCACGUGUGGUUAUUUGUAGGUACUGUAUGAAUAAGGACCGGCUAAUUCCGUGCCAGCCGCCGCAGUAA
rnacentral:rRNA from 1 species